GACAGAGGGGGCAAGCGUUGCUCGGAAUUACUGGGCGUAAAGGGCGCGUAGGCGGGAUGGCAAGUCGGUCGUGAAAUCCUUCGGCUCAACCGAAGAACGUCGAUCGAUACUGCUGUUCUUGAGGGUUGCAGAGGAGACUGGAAUUCCCGGUGUAGCGGUGAAAUGGAUGUAGAGAGUCGGGAGGAACACCGGUGGCGAAGGCGGUUCUCUGGGCCUUACCUGGACGCUGAGG
rnacentral:rRNA from 1 species